GACGAACGCUGGCGGCGUGCUUAACACAUGCAAGUCGAACGAAGUGGCGAACGGGUGAGUAACGCGUAAUCAACCUGCCCUUCAGAGGGGGACACCAGUUGGAAACGACUCCUAAUACCGCAUACGGAAGGAGGGGAUUGCGUUGGGUUUGCUAGUUAGGGGGGUAACGGCCCCCCAAGGCGAGGGUCAGUAGCCGGGUCGAGAGGAUGAACGGCCACAUUGGGACCGAGGCCCGGCCCAGACUCCUUCGGGAGGCAGCAGUGGGGAAUCUUCCGCAAUGGAGGAAAGUCUGACGGAGCAACGCCGCGUGAGUGGUGACGGCCUUCGGGUUGUAAAGCUCUUUUCAUCGGGACGCGGUACCGGAAUAGAAAGCCACGGCUAACUCCGUGCCAGCCGCCGCGGUAAUUC
rnacentral:rRNA from 1 species